GUGUGUGUCUGUUUGUGUGUGUGUGUGUGUGUGUGUGUCUGUUUGUGUGUGUGUGUGUGUGUGUGUGUGUGUGUGCUUGCUGUGCUGCUGUCCUGUGAAUGCUGGGUUCUGUCAGCUGGACUCGGUUCCUCCUGGUUCUCGCUGCUUCCGGCUGCAGCGCCGCUCGUCUCCUGGUCGGCGGUGUCGGCCGGCUCGGUUGGUGACGGCGUUUUCACAGCUGUAUGUUCUUAUUGCCUGACUGGUGAAUGCUGACCCGGCGAUGCUUCUCCCUGCCGCUGCUGUCGGUGCUCCAGACGAGAGCUGGGAGUGUAAAUAGGAACCUGGGCUGUUAGUGGGCGGAGCCUGGGCCGGUAGUGGGCGGAGCCUGGGCCGGUAGUGGGCGGAGCCGGUCAGUCCGUCUGUAUAUUGUAUAGCUAACACUGUUUCAGAAAAAAGCCUUAUAGUUAAAAAAAGAAAAAAAGUGCAGCAGCUCAGAAAACACCAACUGUGAGGUUUGCUUGGGGACAGAGCUCCACCGUGUCGGCGAGCACCGGCGCCGCACCGCCUUUCCCAGCUGCUCCAACGUCACAGAACACCAGGGUCAAAGGUUAAACACGGGACAACGUGGAUCGAAAGACGACUUGUGGGUUUUGAGAUGAGCUGAACCUGUGAUGGGCAAUGCCCGGUCUGAACAAACGCCUACCGGUCUGAACGAAUGCCUCCUGGUCUGAACGAACGACGCCCGGUUUGAAAGAACACCGCCCGGUCUGAACGAAUGCCUACCGGUCUGAACGAACACCGCCCGGUCUGAAAGAAUGCCGCCCGGUUUUAACGAAUGCCUACCGGUCUGAACGAACGCCUCCCUGUCUGAACGGACGCCUACCGGUCUGAACAAACACCGCCCGGUCUGAACGAAUGCCUCCUGGUCUGAACGAACGACGCCCGGUUUGAAAGAACACCGCCCGGUCUGAACAAACGCCUACCGGACUGAACGAACACCGCCCGGUCUGAACGAACGCCUACCGGACUGAACGAACGCCGCCCGGUCUAAACGAAUGCCUACCGGUCUGAACGAACACCGCCCGGUCUGAAAGAAUGCCGCCCGGUUUUAACGAAUGCCUACCGGUCUGAACGAACGCCUCCCUGUCUGAACGGACGCCUACCGGUCUGAACGAGCGCCUCCCGGUCUGAACAAAUGCCUCCCGGUCUGAAAGAAUGCCGCCCGGUUUUAACGAACGCCGCCCGGUCUGAGCGAGCGCCUCCAGGUCUGAACGAACGCCUCCCAGUCUGAACGAACACCGCCCGGUUUGAACAAACGCCGCCCGGUCUGAACAAACACCACCCAGUUUGAACAAACGCCUACCAGUCUGAACGAACGCUGCCCGGUCUGAACAAACACCGCCCGGUCUUAACGAAUGCCGCCCGGUUUGAACGAACGCCGCCCGGUUUGAAAGAACGCCGCCCGGUCUGAAUGAACGUCUGUCGGUCUAAACGAAAGCCUCCCGGUCUGAACAAACGCCUACCGGUCUGAACGAACGCUGCCCGGUCUGAAUGAAUGCCGCCCGGUUUGAACGAACGCCACCCGGUUUGAAUGAACGCCGCCCGGUUUGAACGAACGCCUACCGGUCUGAACAAACACCGCCCGGUCUGAACAAACGCCUACCGGUCUGAACGAACGCCGCCCGGUCUGAACAAACACCGCCCGGUCUGAACAAACACCGCCCGGUUUGAACGAAUGCCUACCGGUCUGAACAAACACCGCCCGGUUUGAACGAAUGCCUACCGGUCUGAACAAACACCGCCCGGUCUGAACAAACGCCUACCGGUCUGAACAAACACCGCCCGGUCUGAACGAACGCCUCCCGGUUUGAAAGAACACUGCCCGGUCUGAACGAACACCUCCCGGUCUGAACGAACGCCUACCAGUCUGAACGAAUGCCGCCUGGUCUGAACGAACGCCUACCAGUCUGAACGAAUGCCGCCUGGUCUGAACGAACGCCGCCCGGUUUGAACGAACGCCUCCAGGUCUGAACGAACGCCAACCGGUCUGAACGAACGCCAACCGGUCUGAACGAACGCCGCCAGGUCUGAACGAACGCCUACCAGUCUGAACGAACGCCUACCGGUCUGAACGAACGCCACCUGGUCUGAACGAACGCCGGCAAGUCUGAACACUACCCCAUCUGAACGGCGCCUGGUCAGAGCACCGUCCUGUCUGAACAUCACCUGAUCUGAACGAACGCCGCCCGGUCUGAACACUGCCCGGUCUAAACGCCACCCGGUCUGAACGAACGCCGCCAAGUCUGAACAGUUCCCCAUCUGGACACCACCUGAUCUGAAUUAACGCCGCCCAGUCUAAACACCACCCGGUCUAAACGCCACCCGAUCUAAACACCACCCGGUCUAAACGCCGCCCAGUCUAAACACCACCCGGUCUAAACGCCACCCGAUCUAAACACCACCCGGUCUAAACGCCACCCGAUCUAAACACCACCCGGUCUAAACGCCACCCGAUCUAAACACCACCUGGUCUAAACGCCACCCGAUCUAAACACCACCCGGUCUAAACACCACCCGAUCUAAACGCCACCCGGUCUAAACGCCACCCGGUCUAAACGCCACCCGUUCUGACCGCCGUCGCCCCAUUGGUGGGUUCAAAGCUCUGUCUCCUGCAAUGCGAGGCUCUGUGUCCUUCUAUGCAACUUCCCAGGUGAACUGUUCGACUGUCUGUAGAUUGUAAACACUGCCUUUUAGACACUGUGAAUUUUUUGGUACCCUAUAUUUUUGUAUAUUGUACAUUACAAAAGGACAAUAAACCUUGAUGCCAA